rnacentral:misc_RNA from 1 species
UAGCAUUCAAUAUGUCCGCCAUUACAGAACUUCCAUCGCAGUUUCUUCUUCCAUCCUCUUUCUUCGAAACUUCAAAAAUCCUAACUCCAAAAUCACCAUUCACAAUUCUACAUUUUCUAUAUAAAUAAAUCUCUAAAUCUUCAUCAUAGUAGUACUAAUUUUUGGUAUCAACAAUGGCGGCGAAUCAAAAUGUAAUUGUAAUGAGACACGGUGACCGGUUGGAUAACUUUGAGGAAUUGUGGGUGAUGAAAGCGGAAAGACCGUGGGAUCCACCUUUGCAUCAGGAUGGUAAGAUCCGGGCAUUUUGUACGGGUCAAAAGAUCCGAUCCAGUAUUGAUUUCCCGAUCCAUCGGGUUUUCGUUUCUCCGUUUCUCCGAUGUGUGCAGACUGCUGCAGAGGUCGUACGUGCUCUUUGUGACGUUGCUGAUCACAACGGCGAGUCUAAUGUCUUGUCAUCCAAUUCCGAUUCAGUCAUUAUUGAUCCAUCUAAAGUCAAAGUAUCUAUUGAAUAUGGUUUGUGUGAAAUGCUGAAUUUAGUAGCUGUAAGAGCUUCUGCAGCUCCUAAGGAUGGGGAUUUCAAAUUCAGCAUCUCACAAUAUGAAUCUGAGUUGCCUGCUGGAACUGUAGAUAACACUGUUGAACCUGUGUAUAAGAAGCUGCCAGAGUGGGAAGAGUCGUUGGAAAGUGCAAGGGCUAGAUAUGUGAAGGUAGUUAAGGCCCUUGCUGAUAAGUAUCCUUCUGAGAACCUGUUGUUAGUCACACAUGGUAAGUGUUCUUGCUUGGUUUUGCAUUUUCUAGGUGCAAUGUGGGUUGUGAUGUGGAGAGUGAAGACUUUCUAGUCUCCAAAGAGCACACAGGGCCCUUGUGAGAGACUGCUUCUGCUGUGGCGAAAUCAAUGAAUGUGUUUCAAUUUAAAUGGCGUAUCUUUGUUGUUUCAGAUUG